GCCAGGCUGGCUCAGCAGGGAGAGCAUGUGACUCUAGAUCUCAGGGUUGUAAGUUCGAGCCCCACGUUGGGUA
rnacentral:tRNA from 1 species